rnacentral:rRNA from 1 species
GGAAACUGGGAGUAAUGCCUUAUAAGAUACGUUUGUCGCAUGGCAUUUGUAUUAAACGCUCCGGCGCCAUAGGAUGGACCCGCGUCCCAUUAGCUAGUUGGUGAGAUAACAGCUCACCAAGGCCACGAUGGGUAACCGGUCUGAGAGGGCGAACGGUCACACUGGAACUGAGACACGGUCCAGACUCCUACGGGAGGCAGCAGUGGGGAAUAUUGCGCAAUGGGGGCAACCCUGACGCAGCAAUACCGCGUGAGUGAAGAAGGUUUUCGGAUCGUAAAGCUCUGUUAUUGGGGAAGAAAAAAAGACGGUACCCAAGAAGAAAGUUCCGGCUAACUACGUGCCAGCAGCCGCGGUAAUACGUAGGGAACAAGCGUUGUCCGGAUUUACUGGGCGUAAAGGGCACGCAGGCGGUUUUUUAAGUCAGAUGUGAAAGGCCACAGCUCAACUGUGGACAUGCAUUUGAAACUGAAAGACUUGAGUAUUGGAGAGGCAAGUGGAAUUCCUAGUGUAGCGGUGAAAUGCGUAGAUAUUAGGAGGAACACCGGUGGCGAAGGCGGCU